GGAUAUAGCUCAGUAGUAGAGUACGUGCCUUGUAUGCACAAAGUCCUGAGUUCAAGUCCCAGUACCUCCA
rnacentral:tRNA from 1 species